rnacentral:rRNA from 1 species
GUGGGGAAUAUUGGGCAAUGGGGGCAACCCUGACCCAGCAACGCCGCGUGAGGGAAGAAGGUUUUCGGAUUGUAAACCUCUGUCCUAUGGGAAGAAGGAAGUGACGGUACCAUAGGAGGAAGCCCCGGCUAACUACGUGCCAGCAGCCGCGGUAAUACGUAGGGGGCGAGCGUUGUCCGGAAUUACUGGGCGUAAAGGGUGCGCAGGUGGCCUGACAAGUCAGAUGUGAAAUACCGAUGCUUAACGUCGGGGCUGCAUUUGAAACUAUGAGGCUGGAGUGCAGGAGAGGGAAGCGGAAUUCCUAGUGUAGCGGUGAAAUGCAUAGAUAUUAGGAGGAACACCAGUGGCGAAGGCGGCUUUCUGGACUGUAACUGACACUGAGGCACGAAAGCGUGGGGAGCAAACAGGAUUAGAAACCCCUGUAGUCC